UACGUAGGGUGCUAGCGUUGUCCGGAUUUAUUGGGCGUAAAGAGCGUGUAGGCGGUCAGGUAGGUCCGUUGUGAAAACUCGAGGCUCAACCUCGAGACGCCGAUGGAAACCAUCUGACUAGAGUCCGGAAGAGGAGAGUGGAAUUCCUGGUGUAGCGGUGAAAUGCGCAGAUAUCAGGAGGAACACCAAUGGCGAAGGCAGCUCGCUGGGACGGUACUGACGCUGAGGAGCGAAAGCGUGGGGAGCGAACAGG
rnacentral:rRNA from 1 species